rnacentral:ribozyme from 1 species
UAGAAAUACCGCACUGGUAGGGUAUGGAUCCGAAGCCUCUAGAAGGAUAACAAAGGCUUUUCACACUCUACUCCUACUCAAUACGUCCCCGGCGUUCAGAGGGUACCAUGUCUCUCCAAAUAUCNNNNN